GGCCUCUCUCCCAUCGGCAGCAUGGAGUUUCUUUCUCCGUAGCUAGGACUGGAAGCCAGGAUCAAUCCUUUAGAACAAUUGUCAGGGCUGCAACAAACUGGGCAUUCAUUUUUCCUACCUUAGACAUUU